CCUCGCAAGAGGAGCCUGGAGACAGGUGCUGCAUGGCUGUCGUCAGCUCGUGUCGUGAGAUGUUGGGUUAAGUCCCGCAACGAGCGCAACCCUUGUCUUUAGUUGCCAUCAUUCAGUUGGGCACUCUAAAGAGACUGCCGGUGUCAAACCGGAGGAAGGUGGGGAUGACGUCAAGUCCUCAUGGCCUUUAUGACCAGGGCUACACACGUACUACAAUGGCCGGUACAAAGCGAUGCCACCCGGCAACGGGGAGCUAAUCGCAAAAAGGUGGGCCCAGUUCGGAUUGGGGUCUGCAACCCGACCCCAUGAAGCCGGAAUCGCUAGUAAUCGCGGAUCAGCCAUGCCGCGGUGAAUACGUUCCCGGGCCUU
rnacentral:rRNA from 1 species